rnacentral:rRNA from 1 species
AAACGACUGCUAAUACCGCAUAAUGUCUUCGGACCAAACGGGGCUUCGGCUCCGGCGCAAAGAGAGGCCCAAGUGAGAUUAGCUAGUUGGUAAGGUAACGGCUUACCAAGGCGACGAUCUCUAGCUGUUCUGAGAGGAAGAUCAGCCACACUGGGACUGAGACACGGCCCAGACUCCUACGGGAGGCAGCAGUGGGGAAUAUUGCACAAUGGGGGAAACCCUGAUGCAGCCAUGCCGCGUGUGUGAAGAAGGCCUUCGGGUUGUAAAGCACUUUCAGUUGUGAGGAAAAGUUAGUAGUUAAUACCUGCUAGCCGUGACGUUAACAACAGAAGAAGCACCGGCUAACUCCGUGCCAGCAGCCGCGGUAAUACAGAGGGUGCAAGCGUUAUUCGGAAUUACUGGGCGUAAAGCGCGCGUAGGCGGACUGUUAAGUCGGUUGUGAAAGCCCUGGGCUCAACCUAGGAACUGCAUCCGAUACUGGCAAUCUAGAGUUUAAGAGAGGGAAGUGGAAUUCCAGGUGUAGCAGUGAAAUGCGUANAUAUC